UUUGGUGAUUAUACGACUAUGGGAAACACCCGUUUCCAUACCGAACACGAUGGUUAAGCCAUAGUCGGCUGAUGGUACUAGUUUGGAGACGAGCUGGGAGAGUAAGUGAUUGCCAAAU
rfam:Epulopiscium sp. SCG-B11WGA-EpuloA1 SCGB11WGA_69, whole genome shotgun sequence.